rnacentral:rRNA from 1 species
CUCGUAGGCGGCUCGGUAAGUUGGGUGUGAAAACUCCAGGCUCAACCUGGAGAGGCCACUCAAUACUGCCGUGGCUAGAGUUCGGUGGAGGAUCGUGGAAUUUCUGGUGUAGCGGUGAAAUGCGCAGAUAUCAGAAGGAACACCAACGGCGAAGGCAGCGAUCUGGGCCGAUACUGACGCUGAGGAGCGAAAGCAUGGGGAGCAAACA